UUUAACCUCGGCUAUCACAUGCGGCGGCUUAAUGCAUAAAGACCGGAGAAUGAGCGUUUGUCAGUCUAAUCCUUGCAGAAUUAUACGUGCACAUGUGAUACUUUGAAUCAAAUUAAUCUAUCUGUAUUCGUCAGUCUGCCAUAAAACAUUAUCUAGGGGAGUUUUAUACUUUGAGAGUGACUAAACGGCAACAGAGGACCUAUUUUCCUUCAAAGUCAAAGAAGAAGAAGGAGCAGCCCAAAUAAAUCUCAAGGUCCUAUUUAAUGGAGGCUAAACAAAAGAACACAUGUCUGUCAAAAUAGGUCUAGGAAGACCUGAUAGAAGGAAGUUGAUUGCGCAGAAGUGUGCAGAUGAACAAAAGUUGAAGUUUGAUUUAACUUAAAGGUAUGUUCAAAGUUGAUGUAGGAUUUGAGCUCAGAAUAUCU